AUCACAUUGUGCUACUGGAGGAGGCGAAGGGUAAAAGGGAGCACACUUCCUGUUUCCUUGCUAAAUAUGAGUCUCCUUGCUAUGUCACUUCCUGCCUGGAUCACCACUUCUCUACUACAUUUCCCAGAAUCCUCUUUGACUCCUAGUCCCAUCUAACUUGCUGUUUCAUUGGCCAAACAGUAUUUUAUUUAACAAUCAAUAAGAUAAACAACACAGAAGUACUUCCCCCAUCAUCUCCUCUUUUCUGUCUAAAAUAAAAGGAUAGCUUAUCUUUUAUAAUAAUUGAAGAAAACUAUAACCAUAACUAUCUGUCUUCAACUCUAUCAAAGACCCACCACUCCUGACACCAUUCCAUAAAUCUUUCCGCCAAAAGCCACCAAGCCCCACUGCCACAUGUGCCCUUUAUGCCAGCCCCUCCCCAAUGAAUACACAGAAACUUGUAUUAGGUUCAGUGAUGCUUGGCCAAUGACUAGGAUUCCUCAUCUGUUAGCUCAGUCUCAAUUAUCAUAAAUCUAUAUAUCUUAUAAGACUUAUCUUAUCGGAUGCCUUAUUGGCGUCCCUCCUUGCCGGUGGAUCACAUUGUGCUGCUGGAGGAGCAAGGGGAAAAGGGCCCUUCCUGUUUCUCCUUCGCUUAAAUAUGAGUCUCCUUGCCAUGUCACUUCCUGCCUGGAUCACCACUUCUCUACUACAUUUCCCAGAAUCCUCUUUGACUCCUAGUCCUGUCUAACUUGCUGUCUCAUUGGCCAAACAGUAUUUUAUUUAACAAUCAAUAAGAUAAACAUACACAGUACAUUCCCCAUCAUCCUUCCCUUCAGGCAGACCUUGAUCUACUCAGUAUAGCUGAAAUUAAUUAUGCUCAAUGAAAACCAAACUUUCUAAUCUUUUACUUUCUAAUCUUUCUUGCAGCAAGGGGUCAGAAUUCUAGCCAACUGGAACUCUCUUACCCAGGAAGUUCUCACUUGGCUGAUAUAAAGAAGUCCCAUUAUCCCUUUGCUACCAGAGAAGUGGUAGUUGUGAAACUACCAUGAUGACAAAAACUACUCACAUGGGACGACAAUGAAGAAAGAGAAAGAAUUUGGAAGCUUUCAGAAGUAUUGACCAGAUUUGGCCUGUUUUGUUUUGUUUUAUGAAAGAAAGUAAAAGAAGAGAAGGGAAAAAGAAAAUGACUCAAUUUGGCUAAUUGGGCUUCUAUUACAAUUGGCCAAACACAGUCUGUAGUGAUACACUGGCUUCCUCUGAGUCCUUGAUUGAAAUAACGGGAAGCCACACAGCAGAGGCCAGCUUCUCUUGAGAUGAAUCUAUGCUGUCUGGCUAUAAAAUUCACCAACCAUCUUCCUACUCAGCCCUCAAGGUGCACUGUGUCUACCUAGACGGCCUAGGUAGAAGAGUUGUCUUCUAAAACUCCAAUCUACUCUGCCCCCAGCCUCCCCUGAUUUCUCAGAUUAGUAAUGCCAUCCCAAAACAGUCUGCAGGGAGUCCUGUCUUCCCUGUGGUGCACACAUGUGAUUGCAGGAAAAACACCCAUCCCCAUAAAACUGAAAUAAAACAAUCUUUUGGUUUACUAAAAUAAACCAAAAAAAAAAAAAAAGUUUCAUGUGGGUGGUCCAUACUCUCUUGUGAAGUCACUAUUUCCCUUCUUGAGUACCACCUUUUUUUCAUCCUACUGUGCCUGAUCUGGGUUCAAAAAUGCCCCCAGAUUUGUGUGUGUGUCUUUUUCCCUCUUCCUGCUUAUCUGGAUGUUUACUGGUGGCAUUGUGUGUGUGUGUGUGUGUGUGUGUGUGUGUAUGUGUAAGGGAAAGUGUCUUAUUUUCUAAUAAAGGGGGUGGAGGCUAACUGCAGCUUCAAAGAUGCCAAUCCACAAAGGAGCACUUUAACCAUCAGGAAACAAAGCUACCAAGAUACAGCUGCAGUUUCCUUGGUUACCUCACAUCCUAUUCUUUGUCUACUGGGUCAAGAUGAACCUAACCACUGAAGGGGUAGUUGUACAGGGCACCGUCUCAUUCCUGCUCAUGUCUGCCUAGCUACUCACAGUAACAGUGCCCUCCACUGUUCUGUUCUUAUUUUAAGCAGUGCAGAUGCGUCCUGCUUGGCUGAGUCUCCUGACCCUCGUGCACAUUCAGGAAAGCUAAGACAUGAAUAUUGGUGCAUUAGUACCAACCGCACACCAGGCUAUUUAGCUCUCAUCAUUUUCUCCCUGUCAUUUCAAGAUCAGCCUAGGAUCCCACAUUGCAUUUAAUCUUCAUUCAUGCUUAGUUUCAUUCUUCAGGGUACGUCUAACUUUUUUUCCUCCUUUCUCAUCCCAAUUAUUAGGUUUUGAACUAGAAAAUUCUCUCUGGGAGCUGGAGAAAUGAUCCGGUGGUUAAGAAUGCAUUCUUUUGUAGAGGACCUGAGUUCAGAUCCCAGUGCCCUCACUGGGUAAUUCAAAACCACCUCUAACUACAGCUCCAGGAACUCUGGAGUCCUCUUCUGGCCUCUGAGGACACUGUGUUAACAUGCACAUGGUUUGAAUAAAUUAAAAAAAAAAAACUUUUAAAAGAAAGGUCCGUUUCCCUGUUAUUUUCUUUAGUUUAUAAGGCAGCCAAGUUUUUCUUUAAAUAUAUUCUCUUUAAAGAGCCUAUCCCAUUGGAUGGGGGCAGAAAUCAUUCGUUAGAAAUCUGAGGCUCCCCAUAGUCCCUGGACUCAACAAACGUGGUGAAGUGUUCAUUUGCAGCCAUGUUUCACCACUGCUCCCCCUAUCGGUCCAAAGGAGGUCUUAAGUGAAAGUCUCGGAGAUUUCCCUUCAUCUUAUGUCUAAAAGUCUGUGCCUUUGAACAAAACAUUUGACAGGAGCUAGGAUGCUGGGCCUGACGCCAAGAGUGAGUCUGAGCCUGGGGAUCCAGCCAACGCCCCAGUGACGGCACUCUAGGGGAUCUGGAAAGAGAGGAAGCUGGGUUGGAUAUCACAUUGCAUCUUUGUGGGAUUAAGAGAAAAACAGCAACAAAAAUCAGCCCCAUGAAGUUAAUGGACCUUUAAUAGGAUUAAAAGGAAGCAAGAGUGAACAGAACCCCUCUUCUGUGAUGCACCGAGCCACUACAAACAGAAGCACCAGGACUAGUGACCAUGGACUGAGACCUCUGAAUUCCUGAGCCAAAAGCCCUCAUCCAGUGGCUGAUGGAAGCAGAGACAGACAUCCACAGAUAUACACUGAGCUGAAAUCGGGAAUUUAGUUGAAGAAAGGGAGGAAUCAAGAGCGAAGGGGUCUGUACCAGGUUGGAGAAACCCACAGGAACAAUUGGCCUGAACAAGGGAGAGCACAUGGACCCCAGAUGCUGUCCGGGAGGCCAGUACAAGACUGAUCCAGACCCCUGAACAUGGAUGUCAAUAAGGAGGCCUCUGCACUCCAGGGAGCCUCUGGUAGUGGAUUAGUAUUUUUCCCUGGUGCAAGAAGGGACUUUGAGAGCCCAUCCCACGUGAAGGGUUACACUCUGGCCCUGGACACAUGGGGAAGGGCCCAGGACCACCACAGGAAGAUUUGGUGGACUUUGCAGAGCCCCCUUUGAGGGUCCUACCCUGCCUGGGGAGUGGUG
ensembl:lncRNA